rnacentral:rRNA from 1 species
GUUGUCCUACGGGACGCAGCAGUGGGGAAUAUUGCACAAUGGGGGAAACCCUGAUGCAGCGACGCCGCGUGAGUGAAGAAGUAUUUCGGUAUGUAAAGCUCUAUCAGCAGGGAAGAAAAUGACGGUACCUGAUUAAGAAGCCCCGGCUAACUACGUGCCAGCAGCCGCGGUAAUACGUAGGGGGCAAGCGUUAUCCGGAUUUACUGGGUGUAAAGGGAGCGUAGACGGUGAUGCAAGUCAGAAGUGAAAGCCCGGGGCUCAACUCCGGGACUGCUUUUGAAACUGUGUAA